rnacentral:rRNA from 1 species
UACGAAGGUGGCAAGCGUUGUUCGGAUUUACUGGGCGUAAAGGGAGCGUAGGUGGUGGGGUAAGCCCCGCGGGAAAGCUCCAGGCUUAACCUGGAAAGGUCGCGGGGGACUGCUCCGCCCGAGGACGGGAGAGGAGCGCGGAAUUCCCGGUGUAGCGGUGAAAUGCGUAGAGAUCGGGAGGAAGGCCGGUGGCGAAGGCGGCGCUCUGGAACGGCCCUGACACUGAGGCUCGAAAGCGUGGGGAGCAAACAGG